UGGGGAAUAUUGCACAAUGGGCGCAAGCCUGAUGCAGCCAUGCCGCGUGUAUGAAGAAGGCCUUCGGGUUGUAAAGUACUUUCAGCGGGGAGGAAGGGAGUAAAGUUAAUACCAUUGCUCAUUGACGUUACCCGCAGAAGAAGCACCGGCGAACUCCGUGCCAGCAGCCGCGGUAAUACGGAGGGUGCAAGCGUUAAUCGGAAUUACUGGGCGUAAAGCGCACGCAGGCGGUUGAUUGAAUCCGAUGUGAAAUCCCCUGGCUUAACCCGGGAAUUGCAUCUGAGACUGGUCAGCUAGAGUCUUGUAGAGGGGGGUAGAAUUCCAUGUGUAGCGGUGAAAUGCGUAGAGAUGUGGAGGAAUACCGGUGGCGAAGGCAGCCCCCUGGACAAAGACUGACGCUCAGGUGCGAAAGCGUGGGGAGCAAACAGG
rnacentral:rRNA from 1 species